rnacentral:lncRNA from 1 species
UAACAUUAUAGAAAAAUUGACGAAAUCGUCAAAGAGAACAGUGACUAAGUUCAAAAUGGUUGGACAGAACUAGGACCAAAAGUUACAAGUGUAGUAAGAAGUUCUAACCCUAAAGAGACUUGGGCUCAUCGGAUCAGGAAUGGAAGACUGGCUGAUUGUGGAUAAGCUUCGGAUGAGGGAAGAUCCUUGCGUCGCCUUCACUCCAUGCUCGCUUCCCCCUUCUCCCUCGUUGGUUGCAUCCGCCACGAGGAUCGUUGGCGGGCUAGCGACUCAUUGUGCACAGACUGUUUGUUCUCUGCGUGUGCAGAAGCUGGAGAAUUUGGUGCGGUGACAUAGGUCAACUGUGCGUGAAUUUGGAGUUUCUGGGGAGAGGUGGUGUGACAUUGAGCUUACCGGAUGUGAAAUUAGAGGGGAGGAUUUGCUGUUGGGUGAAAGAUGGCUGCUUUGAAGGCCUUGUGUAGCUGCGUUGAUGGGGCCUGCAGGUCGACAGAGUUGGGUUCAGCUUGUGCUUCAUUCCUGGGUUCGCAAUGUGGGUGGUCU